UGGCUUCAGUAGCACAUAUGCCAAAAAUUGGAAUGAUACAGAGAUUAGCAUGGCCCCCGAGCAAGGAAGACUGGGAAAUUCACAAAGCGUUUCAUAUGUGU
ensembl:snRNA U6 U6 spliceosomal RNA